CCCUUAGAUGUUCUGGGCCGCACGCGUGCUACACUGAGUGGAUCAGCGGGUCAGGUUGCGCGAAAGCGUUUCCUAAUCUUUAAAUCCGCUCGUGAUGGGGAUUCACGGUUGCAAUUUUCUGUCAUGAACGAGGAAUACCUUGUAAGCGCGGGUCAUCAUCCCGCGCUGAAUACGUCCCUGCCCUUUGUACACACCGCCCGUCGCUCCUACCGAUUGAGUGGUCCGGUGAGGCUUUGGGAUCUGAGCGGAAAGAGCGUUUCGCUGUUUCUGCUCGGAAAACUCAGUCGAACCUUAUCAUUUAGAGGAAGGAGAAGUCGUAACA
rnacentral:rRNA from 1 species